AUCACGAGACUUUUCACCACAGUGUGAGAAGGCAGAGCUACGUGAUCCACACCCUGCACUCUCUCUCGUCUCAACAGCAGCACAGUGUCGGUGGUGAUUUGAAAACUGGUGUGACUUUCCAACUUCACUCAAUGGGAGGGUCUUCUUCCAUACCUGAAUGGAGGGAAAUACCAUGGAGGUAACAGAACUGCUGUCUGUGUGGUGCCAUGGAUGCUCUUAAUGCUGUUUUCUCUUCAAAAACACAGAAAUUGUUCAACAUGAUUUUUAUGUCUCUGCACCGGCAAUCAUGGCCUAAAAU